GAUGAAGAACGCAGUAAAAUGCGAUACUUGGUGUGAAUUGCAGAAUCCCGUGAACCAUCGAGUUUUUGAACGCAAGUUGCGCCCGAAGCCUUUUGGCCGAGGGCACGUCUGCCUGGGCGUCACGCAUCGCGUCGCCCCCCUCAAAUUCUCCGUCAGGGGAGCUUGUGUUUCGGGGGCGGAUACUGGUCUCCCGUGCUCAUGGCGCGGUUGGCCGAAAUAGGAGUCCCUUCGAUGGACGCACGAACUAGUGGUGGUCGUAAAAACCCUCGUCUUUUGUUUCGUGCCGUUAGUCGCGAGGGAAGCUCUUCAAAAACCCCAACGCGUCGUCUCUUGACGGCGCUUCGACCGCGACCCCAGGUCAGGCGGGACUACCCGCUGAGUUUAAGCAUAUCAAUAAGCGGAGGA
rnacentral:misc_RNA from 1 species